rnacentral:lncRNA from 1 species
CUUUCUCCUCGAAGAGACUAUCAACCUUCCUAUGCUGGUCUGACUUCAUGUAAAGAGGCAUCAGAUUAUUGUUGGUCUAUGUUCAUCCAUCUGGCUGUAGAGAUCUGUUGCUUUGUCUUCCUUGUUCCUGAGAAAUAACAAAUAUGAAAGGCGCCGUAAGUUCGAUGAUUCUUGGCUGAUAAGGGAGGUUAGCAAAAUAAUUCUCAGCUGCCUCAAGGCCACACUUGAGAUCCAGACGUAUUGCAUGGUUAGUGUGUGACAUGUUCAUACCCCUCGCACUGACCAUCCAAUCAAUCAAUUGCAUGAAAACAAUGCCACAUUAUAGAUGAAGUAAUACCAACCAAUCAACCAUAACUUAAGCAUUAAUAGCAGAUGUAAAAAGAAGAGCAAUUGCACAUUUCCCACUACUUUAACUUGAGUUUGACACUCAAUAAUGUUAUCAAAUUAUCUGAUGAAUCCUGGUCGCUAAGGCACCAACCAGAUGAUUGGAUGUGAUUACUCAUCGACUAGCUCGAUUAAUCGAGCUUAGUUGUCCUGCAUAUUACCAGGUCUGAUAUGAUAUUAGCAGCAACAAAUUAAAGCUAGAAAAGAUUAAUUGCAGAUCAGAGAUUAAAGCAGAACAGAUGUAGCAAGAUGGAAAAAGAUUGGAGGACAUGAACUCCAUCUUCAGGAAGGAGGAAGGGACCUGGCAGCAGAAUCUUUUAGCACUUGGCUGCUGCAGUGGUUGAGGAAUGCGUGGUGCAUGAGGAAGGAUGUCUGACAAAGGCAGCAACAUGAGCUGGUGGCAGGCUGAGGAAGGCAUCU